rnacentral:lncRNA from 1 species
GGAGAAUAGAUUCAACUUUGCAAGAAGCAACCCUACUUGAAUUAAAUAAUACUUAUUCUACAUACUAAGAGACGGCAUAAACCUUCAACUUAAAUGUGAAAAUGAAACCCAAUUAUUAGUUCAACCGAACAGGAGGCUGAUAGCUUAAAUGAAGUCCUAGCCUUUUAGGUCUAGUGACACUGGCAGAGCUCACAUGCACAAAUGGACGAAAUCAUUAAGUUAAUGGAACAAAUCAUAGAAUUAGCUCAUACUCAAUCUUUUCCAGUUGCAAGAAGAGUCGAGAAUGAUGGAGAAUGAAUUUAGAAAAGAAAUCGGGAGUGAUUGGCUCUUGAAUGUAGGCCCUUAUGGAUGACACUAGAAGCUGAAAUGGACCUUCAGUGAAUGUUGGGUUUAAUUUCCCAGCAUACUCGAACUCACUGAACUUGAGCUGAAUUUCCCAUUGGAUAUAGUUCAUAUUUGAAAUAUGGGCCUCAAAGAAG